rnacentral:rRNA from 1 species
ACGGGCCGCAGCAGGCGCGAAAACUUUACAAUGCGGGAAACCGUGAUAAGGGAACACCGAGUGCCAGCAUCAUAUGCUGGCUGUCCAGAUGUGUAAACUACAUCUGUUAGCAAGGGCCGGGCAAGACCGGUGCCAGCCGCCGCGGUAACACCGGCGGCCCGAGUGGUGACCGUUAUUAUUGGGUCUAAAGGGUCCGUAGCCGGUUUGGUCAGUCCUCCGGGAAAUCUGAUAGCUUAACUGUUAGGCUUUCGGGGGAUACUGCCAGGCUUGGAACCGGGAGAGGUAAGAGGUACUACAGGGGUAGGAGUGAAAUCUUGUAAUCCCUGUGAGACCACCUGUGGCGAAGGCGUCUUACCAGAACGGGUUCGACGGUGAGGGACGAAAGCUGGGGGCACGAACCGGAUUAGAUACCCGGGUAGUCCCAGCCGUAAACUAUGCUCGCUAGGUGUCAGGCAUGGCGCGACCGUGUCUGGUGCCGCAGGGAAGCCGUGAAGCGAG